rnacentral:rRNA from 1 species
AGAGUUUGAUCCUGGCUCAGGACGAACGCUGGCGGCGCGCCUAACACAUGCAAGUCGAACGAGCGAGAGAGAGCUUGCUUUCUCGAGCGAGUGGCGAACGGGUGAGUAACGCGUGAGGAACCUGCCUCAAAGAGGGGGACAACAGUUGGAAACGACUGCUAAUACCGCAUAAGCCCACGGCUCGGCAUCGAGCAGAGGGAAAAGGAGCAAUCCGCUUUGAGAUGGCCUCGCGUCCGAUUAGCUAGUUGGUGAGGUAACGGCCCACCAAGGCGACGAUCGGUAGCCGGACUGAGAGGUUGAACGGCCACAUUGGGACUGAGACACGGCCCAGACUCCUACGGGAGGCAGCAGUGGGGAAUAUUGCACAAUGGGGGAAACCCUGAUGCAGCGACGCCGCGUGGAGGAAGAAGGUCUUCGGAUUGUAAACUCCUGUUGUUGGGGAAGAUAAUGACGGUACCCAACAAGGAAGUGACGGCUAACUACGUGCCAGCAGCCGCGGUAAAACGUAGGUCACAAGCGUUGUCCGGAAUUACUGGGUGUAAAGGGAGCGCAGGCGGGAAGACAAGUUGGAAGUGAAAUCUAUGGGCUCAACCCAUAAACUGCUUUCAAAACUGUUUUUCUUGAGUAGUGCAGAGGUAGGCGGAAUUCCCGGUGUAGCGGUGGAAUGCGUAGAUAUCGGGAGGAACACCAGUGGCGAAGGCGGCCUACUGGGCACCAACUGACGCUGAGGCUCGAAAGUGUGGGUAGCAAACAGGAUUAGAUACCCUGGUAGUCCACACCGUAAACGAUGAUUACUAGGUGUUGGAGGAUUGACCCCUUCAGUGCCGCAGUUAACACAAUAAGUAAUCCACCUGGGGAGUACGACCGCAAGGUUGAAACUCAAAGGAAUUGACGGGGGCCCGCACAAGCAGUGGAGUAUGUGGUUUAAUUCGACGCAACGCGAAGAACCUUACCAAGUCUUGACAUCCCUUGACAGGCAUAGAAAUAUGUUUUCUCUUCGGAGCAAGGAGACAGGUGGUGCAUGGUUGUCGUCAGCUCGUGUCGUGAGAUGUUGGGUUAAGUCCCGCAACGAGCGCAACC